rnacentral:tRNA from 1 species
GGCAAGAUGGCCGAGUGGUCUAAGGCGCACGGUUCAGGGCGUACCAAGCUGGACCUCUUCGACGCGAUUUCGUGUCAGGUUUCCGUGUCUCGAAAGGGGCGAGGGUUCGAAUCCCUCUCUUGUCA